rnacentral:rRNA from 1 species
UACGAAGGAUGCAAGCGUUAUCCGGAUUCAUUGGGUUUAAAGGGUGCGUAGGCGGUCUUAUAAGUCAGUGGUGAAAUCUCUCAGCUUAACUGAGAAACUGCCAUUGAUACUGUAGGACUUGAGUACAGAUGAUGUUGGCGGAAUAUGACAUGUAGCGGUGAAAUGCAUAGAUAUGUCAUAGAACACCGAUUGCGAAGGCAGCUGACAAAACUGUAACUGACGCUGAGGCACGAAAGUGUGGGGAUCAAACAGG